GACUCCUACGGGAGGCAGCAGUGGGGAAUUUUCCGCAAUGGGCGCAAGCCUGACGGAGCAACGCCGCGUGAGGGAUGAAGGCCUCUGGGCUGUAAACCUCUUUUAUCAAGGAAGAAGAUCUGACGGUACUUGAUGAAUAAGCCACGGCUAAUUCCGUG
rnacentral:rRNA from 1 species